rnacentral:rRNA from 1 species
AGGACGAACGCUGGCGGCGUGCUUAACACAUGCAAGUCAAGGGGACCCGCAAGGGUAACCGGCGAACGGGUGCGUAACACGUGAGCAACCUACCGAGAUCUGGGGGAUAGCCGGCCCAACGGCCGGGUAAUACCGCAUACGCUCUUUCCACGGCAUUGUGGAUUGAGGAAACCUCCGGGGGAUUUCGAGGGGCUCGCGGCCUAUCAGCUAGUUGGCGAGGUCACGGCUCACCAAGGCGACGACGGGUAGCUGGUCUGAGAGGAUGGCCAGCCACAUUGGGACUGAGAAACGGCCCAGACUCCUACGGGAGGCAGCAGUGGGGAAUCUUGCGCAAUGGCCGAAAGGCUGACGCAGCGACGCCGCGUGUGGGAGGAAGCCUUUCGGGGUGUAAACCACGUGUUGCCCGGGACGAACAGCUCCUUCGUGGAGCCUGACGGUACCGGUGAGGAAGCGACCGGCUAACUCCGUGCCAGCAGCCGC